ensembl:snRNA U1 U1 spliceosomal RNA
AUACUUCCCUGACAGGGGAGAUACCAUAAUCACAAAGGUUCUUUUUCUAGGGCGAGGCUUAUCCAUUGCAUUCCAGUGUGCUGACCCCUGCGAUUUCCCCGUAUGCAGGAAACUCGACUGUGUAAUUUGUGGUACUGGGGGACUACAUUUGUGCUGAA